rnacentral:lncRNA from 1 species
GAGGGCUUGAGCUAAGGUACCCAGUGUGGCAGGCCCUCACACCCCUCCCAUUCAGAGGGCUUGAGCUAAGGUACCCAGUGUGGCAGCCCCUCACACCCCUCCCAUUCAGAGGGCUUGAGCUAAGGUACCCAGUGUGGCAACCCCUCACACCCCUCCCAUUCAGAGGGCUUGAGCUAAGGUACCCAGUGUGGCAGCCCCUCGCACCCCUCCCAUUCAGAGGGCUUGAGCUAAGGUACCCAGUGUGGCAGCCCCUCGCACCCCUCCCAUUCAGAGGGCUUGAGCUAAGGUACCCAGUGUGGCAGUCCCU